UUCACUAGUGAUUGGCGGACGGGUGAGUAAUGCUUGGGAACUUGCCUUCGGGAGGGGGAUAACAGUUGGAAACGACUGCUAAUACCGCAUAACGUCUACGGACCAAAGCGGGCUUCGGCUCGCACCUGAAGAGAGGCCCAAGUGAGAUUAGCUAGUUGGUAAGGUAACGGCUUACCAAGGCAACGAUCUCUAGCUGUUCUGAGAGGAAGAUCAGCCACACUGGGACUGAGACACGGCCCAGACUCCUACGGGAGGCAGCAGUGGGGAAUAUUGCACAAUGGGGGAAACCCUGAUGCAGCCAUGCCGCGUGUGUGAAGAAGGCCUUCGGGUUGUAAAGCACUUUCAGUUGUGAGGAAAGGUUGGUAGUUAAUACCUGCCAGCUGUGACGUUAACAACAGAAGAAGCACCGGCUAACUCCGUGCCAGCAGCCGCGGUAAUACGGAGGGUGCGAGCGUUAAUCGGAAUUACUGGGCGUAAAGCGCACGCAGGCGGUUUGUUAAGCUAGAUGUGAAAGCCCCGGGCUCAACCUGGGAUGGUCAUUUAGAACUGGCAGACUAGAGUCUUGGAGAGGGGAGUGGAAUUCCAGGUGUAGCGGUGAAAUGCGUAGAUAUCUGGAGGAACAUCAGUGGCGAAGGCGGCUCCCUGGCCAAAGACUGACGCUCAUGUGCGAAAGUGUGGGUAGCGAACAGGGUUAGAUACCCUGGUAGUCCACACCGUAAACGCUGUCUACUAGCUGUGUGUGUAUUUAAUACGUGCGUAGCGAAGCUAACGCGAUAAGUAGACCGCCU
rnacentral:rRNA from 1 species